rnacentral:rRNA from 1 species
UACGUAGGGGGGCAAGCGGUUGUCCGGAUUUAUUGGGCGUAAAGAGCGUGUAGGCGGCCGUACAGGUCAGCUGUGAAAAACUCGAGGCUCAACCUCGAGACGUCGGUUGAAACCGUACGGCUAGAGUCCGGAAGAGGAGAGUGGAAUUCCCGGUGUAGCGGUGAAAUGCGCAGAUAUCGGGGAAGAACACCCGUGGCGAAGGCGGCUCUCUCGGGACGGUACUGGACGCGUGAGACGCGAAAGCGUGGGGAGCGAACAGGA